CUCUAAAUAGGUGUUAGCUUAAAAACAGGAAAGACGACAUUCCUCACCUGCUUCAACGGGAAAAGAGAAAGGCGUAAUAGCAAUCUGGACUACUGUAGGUCAAGCCCCGGUCCUUUUAUUACUACUUUUGUUUUUCUUCAUCAUCUUUGAUAGAAUAAAAGAUAGAAUAAAAAAUUAAGAUAAAAUGAAGCUAUCUUACUCUUCAUCAGCAACCUUUCUCUUCGCUUGUAUGUC
rnacentral:ribozyme from 14 species